UUCGUUUUCUCAUCGGAGCAGUCAGUCAGCGAUGUCUUGGCAACUCACAGCUGCGCCGCACGAUGUUGUGUGAGUGUUCGUCGAGGAAAACUUUCAUUAAUUUGGUUUUUCUGUGAUCUCUGAAGCUUUUCUGGACACUUCAGAUGGUAAGAGAAGAGGUGAAUGACUCCAGCGGCCGCUUGUGGAUCUUUUGGGAUUUUAUGUGCGUUGUUAUGGCUCGGACGAAGGUAAUAAGGCAGAUGGAUGAAAUGGACUUUGGAAGAGGGAGCAUCAAGAAAAGGAGGAAAAAUUAUACUAUGUUUCUCUACGAACACAAACAAACAACGGACUGCAAAAGAAAAAACAAAGUGGCCUUGUCCUCUCCCGGUGACCACCAAGCCGGAACUUGCGAAUCUAGACCUUAUUUACGCAAACAGCCGGAACCCAGUGGGGGAGGAAGGGGAGGGAGAGAGGAAACAGAGGAGGGAAAAAAAUGAGGGAAGGAUGAAGGAUGGAGGGGGAUGGAAUGCAUUUUCGAACUCUAGGGAGAGAUUUGGGACACGGGAUUGUAGUACUGUGUGUGUGUGUGUGUGUGUGUGUGUGUGUGUGACCGUGUCCAUAGC